UUCCUUCAAACUAAAUACCAUUCCUUGAUCUUCUCAGUACCUGUAGUGAGCAGGCUUGUAUGGACCCGCCACUGGUACACUGAUGUAAUCAGCUUGUGUUUGGCUAAGCUUGGUGAGCUUAGCUCCAAGCUUCCCAAGGUGGAGUGCUGCCACCUUCUCAUCAAGGUGUUUCGGCAAAACAUAAACCUUCUUCUCAUAUUUGCCGGUAUCCUUCUCCUUCCACAACUCAAGCUGAGCAAUGACCUGGUUGGUGAAGGAGCAUGACAUCACAAAACUUGGGUGUCCUGUGGCACAACCCAAGUUCAUCAACCGUCCCUCGGCUAAGACAAUGAUGCCCGUGUUGGUUUCGGGGAAGACCCACCUGUCGGUUUGGGGCUUGAUGGUGAUGCGCUUCACACCAGGGUAAGACUCAAGACCGUGCAUGUCGAUUUCAUUGUCGAAGUGACCAAUGUUGCAGACAAUAGCGUUGUUCUUCAUUUUCCUCAUGUGGUCAACCAUGAUGAUGUCCUUGUUACCUGUGGUGGUAACGAAGAUAUCGGCAUCAGAGACAACAUCCUCUAGGGUCAGAACCUGAAGACCUUCCAUGAGAGCCUGAAGGGCACAGAUGGGGUCAAUCUCAGUCACAACAACACGGGCACCGGCCUGUUUCAAGGCAGCAGCACAACCCUUUCCAACAUCUCCGUAACCAGCAACAACGGCAACCUUCCCGGCAAUCAUGACAUCAGUGGCCCUCAUCAACCCAUCAGGAAGUGAGUGACGGCACCCAUACAAGUUGUCAAACUGUUGCAAACCAUGGAUCAAGUGGAGAAAAUAAAACUUCAUUAGACCAAAAAAUGACACACAACUAGAUCCAAAUUAUAAAACAUACAAAAAUUGACACCAAAAGAAGACUCAAAUCAAACACAACAUUUACACAAAAAAAGGAAACAACAGAUAAUAAGCAUAUAUGCAAAUUGCAAACAACACUCAGAACUCAUAAGCAGUUCAAAUUAAAACAAGAGCCACUGACCCCAUAUAAUCAUUAGCAUGCAGUGUAAAUUAAUUUCAAUAACCCACUUGUUUCAACAACCCAAGCAAUAAGUAGCCCUUAACACACAAUCUGAAGACAUUUAUUAAUUGCACACCACGAAGAAAAACCCAUUAAUUUAGCAAUGCAACAAAAAAACAUAGUUUUCAAACCUAAACCGUAAUUCUUACAUUUGUCACUCAAUCAAAAAAAGAACACACUCCAAAUUUCAGUAAGCCAAUGACAGCUCACCAUUUUCCAAUUACAACUAAACCUGACAUAACCCAUGUAACAAAACUUCAGAUCUUGACUCAGUCCAAAACAAAACACAAAUUAAACAACACAAAAACCAUAAUUUUUACACUUAACUCCCAUUCUCACACUCCUCUCCAAAAAAUAACACACUCUAAAUUUCACUAACCCUAAAACCAACCAUUUCAAACCAACCCAUUUUCGAAAGCAUCAUUUUUUCCCUAAAAACCCAACCAAAACUUCAGAUCCAAAUAAAAAAACAACCAGAUCUAUCUAAACAAAAACAAAGUAUCAAAAACUUCACCUUGCUCUUGGUAACAGAAUCAUUAACAUUAAUAGCAGGGAACAAAAGAGUCCCAUUAGCUUGCAUCUGAUAAAGUCUCUUAACACCAGUAGUAGUCUCUUCAGAAACCCCAACAAGUCUCUCUUUCAUUUUUCUAUACCUUCUCGGAUCACUCUUCAACCCAUCCUUAAUAAUCGUCAACACAAUUUGAAACUCUGCAUUAUCCGUUGAAUUUGGAUCCGGCAACUCCCCCGUCGCCUCAAACAGCUCCUCCGCCUUCACCCCUUCAUGAAUCAGCAGCGUAGCGUCGCCGCCGUCGUCGACGAUCAGAUCAGGUCCACCGUCGGGACCCCAAUCGAGGGCUCGCUCCGUGCACCACCAGUACUCCUGCAAGGUCUCUCCUUUCCAGGCGAAUACGGCGGCGCUGUCGCGGGCGAUGGCGGCGGCGGCGUGGUCCUGGGUGGAGAAGAUGUUGCAGGAGCACCAGCGAACCUCGGCGCCGAGGGCAGUUAGGGUUUCGAUGAGGACGGCGGUUUGGAUAGUCAUGUGAAGGGAGCCGGUGAUUCGGGCUCCCUUGAAGGGCUGAGAUGGGCCGAAUUCGGCCCGACAGGCUAUGAGCCCGGGCAUUUCGACUUCGGCCAACUCAAGUUCGAGUCGGCCGAAGUCGGCUUGGGAAAGGUCCUUGACCUUGUAUUCACGGCCGCUUGUGGUUUUCUCAACUAGCAAAGCCAUGACUAUUAUAGUAAGGAAAUAUUUUUAUUUUUUAGAGAAAGAGAGGUGAAGAAGCUAAGGGAAAAUGUUGGGUGUGUCAAAAUACGGUUAUGGGAGUGGGUGGAAUGGGAUAGGAUAUUUUAAUGAAGUGUGUGGAUUUGGGUUUUAUUGUUCACUUGCAAACAUCUUCUAAAUCCACGUGUAGUGUUAUAAAAGUUGAAAAGUAAAUUACACUGACACCCUUGAGUUUUAAUAAAAUUAUAUAAAUCAUCUCUUAUACCCCUAAUUUUUUACAUUUGCAUUACCACCCAUGAAUGAGAAAUAAAUGUAAUUUUUAGACAAAUUUAUGAUAAAUGUAGUUAAGUUAAUCAAAACAUGAUAUAAUGUGAAAUGGAACCCCCGUGAACUGAGUCAAGCCAAUUAAGAGUAUGAGACAAUGGUUUGAGGAGCACAUGGAGAUGAUGGCGCCAUGUUUGUUGGGAGCGGUCGGUUCCAUUACAUUGUAGUUGUAUCGCUCCUUUCGUCUAUUAAACUGUUGCCAUUAAUAAUACUUAGUACAUGAGGAGAGUAUUAUGAUAUUUAUAAAAUAUGAUUUUUACUAUAUUUAUAAUAAAUUUUAGUAAUUAGUAAUUGAGCUAUAUCGACAAAAGUUGUCAUAUAUAUUAUUUAUUUAAUUAUUAUAUAUAUUGAUUAUUAUAAAAUAUAUAAAUAUAUGAGAAAAUAGUAUAUAAAUGUAUAGUGAAAGUGAGGAAUAAAAUAUUAAUGGAACAAAAGCUCUAGAGUUUAGCUAUGAUCCAAGUCUAAAAGCAUAAGCAUGUGAUGUUGUUGUGUUUUACCAAACACAAGCCUUAGAGCACCCUAAUACAUGAGCACUUGAGCAGUGGGGAAGGUGUAAAAGGGUAAGAGAAUAUAAGACUCUUGUCUUACUGCACCAUCUAUUUUAAUCCUACCAAACCUAUCGUGAGAGAUAAUCUAGUAUUUUGAAGCUCUUACAUUGACAAUGAAAUAUAAGAAAUGAUCAAAUUGAGUUCAUACACUGAACAAUAUGGCUGUUGUAUCUGAAGCUAUGUCAUCUCAACCACGGCAUCAGAGGGAGUCUAAUGGCUGAAAUUCCAAUAUUUUAUCUUUAGGCAAAACGUAACAAAAUGACAUUCACAUAAAUCAAGUCACAAAGAUAAAGCAUGCCUAAAAGGGACUACGAUAAUUGACAAAUAUUUCAUCUUUAUUCUUAUUCUCUCGCUGAUAAAAGAUGAUCAUAAUUUUAUAUACAUGUGGUUAUAAACAAAAGGUCAAAUGAUGAAAUACUGAACAAGAAUGACAUUAGUGCUUCUGAAUAAGAAAUAAGCCAAAGGAUGAAAUGCUGAUGAUAAGUAAGAAAGAAUGACAUUAAUGUUUGAAAUGUUAUUUUUUUAUAGCUGAUAAAUAUUAAUACAUUUCACCUCUGAAUCUGUGCAUAUACAAAUUAUAUCCUCAAUAUCAAACAAUAAAAAUGUAAGUUAGAUACAAAAAUGUCACACUAGUAUAAAUAAUGAGUAUAAUAUUUAUGUACUGAUAAUAUAAAGAUUUAUACAUAAUUAACUCAUACACUAUCAAUUUAUAUAUUUUUCUCUAAAAUAAUAUCAUAACAUCACUUUUAUAUAAAUUUAUUUAAUAUUUUACAAUGUCAGACCACACCAUGUUGAGUUUGGACCAUGGUAUAGAUUUCUCUCUCUCUCGUUGUAAGAUGAAUACAAAUUUUAAAUAAUAAAGUAUUGAAAACUGAGAAUAAGAUAUUGCUAGAGACAUGUGUUCUCGAUAUUGAUUUCAUGAUUUGUUGAUAUUAUGCUAAUAUACCAACAUCCUCAUGCCCCCAGCCCCACAUUGGACUAAGGACCUACUUUGAUUUUCCUUCAAUAUUUUAUUGAGCAAUAAUGAAGAUACACGAUGACCAUUUUCCUUUUAUUCAUUUCACUGCACUGCCUUUUAUUCGUGUUUUUGUCCUUUAUAUUAUGAAUUCAAUCAUUGAUAUCCCACGGUUUUCACCUUACUUUCAUUUCAAAUAACCUUACACAAGAAUCUUAUCCACUUAAUGAGGAAGAAAUCUUAAAAUUUCCUAACAAAACAUUCAAUAUUCAUAUUGGAAGAUUGGGUAUUUGUCCUUUUGUAGAUUGAUUUCAGGCAAUGAAGGAAAUGUGAAUUUAUCUGUUUCCAUAGGCAUUGGCUGCAAAUGAAUGUGAAGUAACUUUUCACAAUCCUUCGGCAGUGAAUGAAUUUUAGCCCAAAACCAUGCACUUACAAUUGCAAAUUAAAAUCCCACUUACUCAAUUUAGUUUUCUUUUGAUUUUAGCAAAGGUGGACAGAAUGAACACUAAAACCCCACAAACUCAAGCUAUUACAAAACCAGAAUGAACACAACCCCAACCAAAGCAUUAUUCAAACCCAUUUGGUUUCACUUCACAGAAACCAAUGGAUCAACUUCCUCUAACCCUUCAUACCCACUUAGAACAGAGAAUCCUACAGAAAAUCCAAAAUAGUGAAAGUGGAACAAUCAAACCGGUACACGAAACAGCUUUUCUAUUCCUUCAAACUAAAUACCAUUCCUUGAUCUUCUCAGUACCUGUAGUGAGCAGGCUUGUAUGGACCCUCAACAGGUACGCUGAUGUAAUCAGCCUGUGAUUGGCUAAGCUUGGUGAGCUUAGCUCCAAGCUUCCCAAGGUGGAGUGCUGCCACCUUCUCAUCAAGGUGUUUCGGCAAAACAUAAACCUUCUUCUCAUAUUUGCCGGUAUCCUUCUCCUUCCACAACUCAAGCUGAGCAAUGACCUGGUUGGUGAAGGAGCAUGAC
rnacentral:lncRNA from 1 species